CCCAGUACGGAUACAGAUAUACAAAAGAUAUACAACUGAUAUACGAAAACAACUGAGACAAAAUACUGAACAAAGCCUCGAGUGCAAAUACGAACGAAAAUAUAAUAUCCAAAGAUUUGAAUGGAAUAUAUCUGAAUCAACAUAAUUGACGAAACCAAUAAAAGAAUAAAGAAAUAACGAACUGAAGUAACUAACUCAAUGACUUGAACUGAGCAGAAACCAACAAAACUGAUCCAAUAAAAUAAUAGGCUGAAACAAAUGGCUGGAGUUAUUUCAUACCGAAUGAGCUCAGAAUAUACCUUGCCACACAGGCAAGUCAAAAUAAUGCCACACAGGCAAAUCAAAUGAUGCCACAUAGGCAACCAAAAUAAUGCCACACAGGCAAAUCAAAACAAUGCCACACAGGCAAGUCAAAAUAAUGCCACAUAUACAAUCACACAUUGGACCGCGAAUCCAAAUGUAUAAAAAUCGAAUAGUGUGUUUGGCACAACAUCACCAAUCCGCAGAACAGAAAACUAGGGUUAACCCAUACGCCUCCCACAACAAAACACCAAAUGGCCCACUACCUCCGGAGCCCAAAACGGAGACGCCGUGGACUAAUCACACCGCCACGGAAAGUGUCAUGUCUCUCGUGCCAAAACGACAUGCCUGUGCUACCCCCACAGGUAGUUAUAGCUCUGGUAUACCCUACGGUAUAUUCUAACAAAAUACCAUGUCACAACACAUGCGACAUAAUACCAACAAAAAGGGUUCUAUAUGUACAUGUUGAACCAAAUCAAAUUAUAGUCACAAUGUCUCAAAAAGAAGGUAGCAACAUGUACC
rnacentral:lncRNA from 1 species